UUACGGGAGGCAGCAGUGGGGAAUCUUCCGCAAUGGACGAAAGUCUGACGGAGCAACGCCGCGUGAGUGAUGAAGGCCUUCGGGUCGUAAAGCUCUGUUAUUAGGGACGAACGUCUUCUAUGUGAAUAAUGUGGGAGAGUGACGGUACCUAAGGAGGAAGCCACGGCUAACUACGUGCCAGCAGCCGCGGUAAUACGUAGGUGGCAAGCGUUGUCCGGAAUUAUUGGGCGUAAAGCGCGCGUAGGUGGGAUCAUAAGUCUUAUGUAAAAGUGCGGGGCUCAACCCCGUAAAGCGUGAGAAACUGUGAUUCUUGAGUGCAGGAGAGGAAAGCGGAAUUCCCAGUGUAGCGGUGAAAUGCGUAGAUAUUGGGAGGAACACCAGUGGCGAAGGCGGCUUUCUGGACUGUGUCUGACACUGAGGCGCGAAAGCUAGGGGAGCGAACGGGAUUAGAUACCCCCGUAGUCCC
rnacentral:rRNA from 1 species